GUGUAAGCAACACAUGCUAUCGGGAUUUUGACAGGAAAGAUAAUGGAGGCGCGAGCUGCUGCACUUUUCUUCUUGGCUGCUGGUUUGAUUCACACAACAUACUCAGCAUGUAUCAUGAGUCCUGUUCAAUCUAAAAUUGUGAAUGGUUCAGUACAAUAUUUCUGCACAUACAAAGAUAAAGAAUUGGGAGUUGGCGAACGUUUCCGAACUGAUGUUUGCCUCGAAUGUAGUUGUAGUGAAAAUGGAAUGUGGUGCUGUGGAGUUGGUCAUGCUGCUGGUGUAAUGGUAGCUAAAGACUGUGUACAGAAGAAGUAUGAUAAUUGUUGUUAUCAGUUUUUUGAUGUUUUAACUGGAGGUAACUGUACAGAUCUCUACUGUCCACCACCAUUUAAAAUGUAUAAAAACUAUGAAUUAAUAUAACCCCACAGAAUAUCAAUAAAACA